rnacentral:rRNA from 1 species
AAUCAGUUAUGGUUCCUUAGAUCGUUCAUACUACAUGGAUAACUGUGGUAAUUCUAGAGCUAAUACAUGCAAAAAGCUCCGACCGUAUGGGAAGAGCGCUUUUAUUAGACCAAAACCAAUGGGGUCGCAAGAUCCCUUUGUAUGGUGACUCUGGAUAACUUUGUGCUGAUCGCAUGGCCUAGAGCCGGCGACGUAUCUUUCAAGUGUCUGCCCUAUCAACUUUCGAUGGUAAGCGAUUUGCCUACCAUGGUUGUAACGGGUAACGGGGAAUCAGGGUUCGAUUCCGGAGAGGGAGCAUGAGAAAUGGCUACCACAUCUACGGAAGGCAGCAGGCGCGCAAAUUACCCACUCCUAGAACGGGGAGGUAGUGACGAAAAAUAACAAUACCGGACUCAAUGAGGCUCGGUAAUUGAAAUGAGUACAGUUUAAAACCCUUAACGAGGAUCUAUUGGAGGGCAAGUCUGGUGCCAGCAGCCGCGGUAAUUCCAGCUCCAAUAGCGUAUAUUAAAGUUGUUGCAGUUAAAAAGCUCGUAGUUGGAUCUCGGGUACUAGCAUGUGGUACGCUUAACUGCUGUUACUACAUGUCUGGUCCUAAUCAACCGGUUGGCCGUUGAUGCCCUUUAUUGGGUGUUUUCGGUAGCCGGUACGUUUACUUUGAGAAAAUUAGAGUGCUUAAAGCAGGCCUUACGCCUGAAUAAUGUUGCAUGGAAUAAUAGAAUAGGACCUCGGUUC